GAGUGGCGGACGGGUGAGUAAUGCUUGGGAACUUGCCUUUGCGAGGGGGAUAACAGUUGGAAACGACUGCUAAUACCGCAUAAUGUCUUCGGACCAAACGGGGCUUCGGCUCCGGCGCAAAGAGAGGCCCAAGUGAGAUUAGCUAGUUGGUAAGGUAACGGCUUACCAAGGCGACGAUCUCUAGCUGUUCUGAGAGGAAGAUCAGCCACACUGGGACUGAGACACGGCCCAGACUCCUACGGGAGGCAGCAGUGGGGAAUAUUGCACAAUGGGGGAAACCCUGAUGCAGCCAUGCCGCGUGUGUGAAGAAGGCCUUCGGGUUGUAAAGCACUUUCAGUUGUGAGGAAAAGUUAGUAGUUAAUACCUGCUAGCCGUGACGUUAACAACAGAAGAAGCACCGGCUAACUCCGUGCCAGCAGCCGCGGUAAUACGGAGGGUGCGAGCGUUAAUCGGAAUUACUGGGCGUAAAGCGCACGCAGGCGGUUUGUUAAGCUAGAUGUGAAAGCCCCGGGCUCAACCUGGGAUGGUCAUUUAGAACUGGCAGACUAGAGUCUUGGAGAGGGGAGUGGAAUUCCAGGUGUAGCGGUGAAAUGCGUAGAUAUCUGGAGGAACAUCAGUGGCGAAGGCGACUCNNUGGCCAAAGACUGACGCUCAUGUGCGAAAGUGUGGGUAGCGAACAGGAUUAGAUACCCUGGUAGUCCACACCGUAAACGCUGUCUACUAGCUGUGUGUGUCUUUAAGGCGUGCGUAGCGAAGCUAACGCGCUAAGUAGACCGCCUGGGGAGUACGGCCGCAAGGUUAAAACUCAAAUGAAUUGACGGGGG
rnacentral:rRNA from 1 species